UACGGAGGGUGCAAGCGUUAUCCGGAUUUACUGGGUUUAAAGGGUGCGUAGGUGGGUCUGUAAGUCAGUGGUGAAAUCUCCGAGCUUAACUCGGAAACUGCCAUUGAUACUAUAGAUCUUGAAUUAUCUGGAGGUGAGCGGAAUAUGUCAUGUAGCGGUGAAAUGCUUAGAUAUGACAUAGAACACCGAUUGCGAAGGCAGCUAACUACGGGAUGAUUGACACUGAUGCACGAAAGCGUGGGGAUCAAACAGG
rnacentral:rRNA from 1 species